GAUAUGAUCAUACUCUGGGCUCUCUCUCUCUCUUUUUACUCAUGCUCCAUGAAAAUCUUUAUUCCUCAACUCUGAUUGCAGAGAUAAAACCACUGACCCCACCUCAGACAAGGCUCCCAUUGAGGCUAUCAGGACCCGAAUACCUUUUCAUUGAGCCAAUGUCACUGAGAUGAAGCUGGACGCCUGAUCAUGUAGACAGUGAAAAAGACUUUGCAUUUUGUUCUAAAUCUUAUGAGAAGUCAUAAACGGGAGGGUUUUGCUCACAGGCACUCUCCUAGCGGCUGUGACUCAAGAAGCUCGAGGCUGCCCAACAUGCCAGGCCUGUGAAACCAUCUGAAAGAAGCAUAAGAUGUGCUUCCUGCCUUCAUGCAGCUUCAAACCUUAAUAAUCCACAGGGAGAGCUUUGAGACUUAUGGAAACCAUCAGACUGCUUUAUCUGACCAAACCUCAAAGGAGGUUGAACUGGGAAGAGAGAGUCUGUUGACUCCAAGGCCAUCCCCAGCCUCCCACACUCACUCCUGAUCCUUUGGGAAGACCUGUGCCUUCGCUCGUUCCUGUGGCAGCAGCAAUCCACCCCUUUCAGAAGCUGUACGUCUCUCUCCAGUUUGCGUGGAAUUCUUGGAUAGGACCCAAGUUCUACUGGGACUGGUACCUGAAGCAGAGAGAGGAUAGAGAGGAGAGGGAUGGACUCCUGCACCUGACCUCUUGGACUGGUUGGAAAAACUGAUUCAACAGGAAGUCAAGAGCUCCGACUCCAAAAGCUGACCUUUGGUGUGCGGAAUCCUGGCUCUGCUGCUCACUCCUUAGAUAAUCUCAGCUUUAUGAAGGUAUAAUUGAUAUACAAAAAGCUGCACAUAUUUAAUGUAUAUAUUUGAUGAGUUUGGACGUAUGCACACAUCUGUGAAACCAUCACCACGGUUUAGGAAAUAAACAUACGCAUCACUUCCAAAUGUUUCUUCAUGCCCUGCCUUUCUUUGUGAAAUUUUUCUUCAUAUCAAAGUUAGUAGAGACUUGAGCCUUGAACCCCCACGAAAGCUGGCUUGUGAAUAUAAAUCUUCAGAUGGAGACUCCUCACUCCAGCCAAAGACUGAUAAAGAAAGAAAACAGCAUCAAGAAGACUCAGAGAAAAACACAUCUCUGAAAAUGAGCUACCAGAGACCUCAGAAGAAAAUGACAGUUAACUGGAAUCCUUAGAAAGAUGAAAGAAAACAUGUUCUCUAAGAGUCAGAAGGCUACAGAGAGAAAAAGAGACGUUGAGAAAAAGAGAGAUAAAUGAAAUACAAACAGGACAACCAAAAAUCUGUAAUUUUAUUUGGAAGAAUAAAUAUAUAUAAAAAGUCAAGAAAUUCUUGAAAAUGGAGAGUAUAGAGGAGGGAUUUGUUUACCAAACACUGAUAUAUUAUUGUAUUAAAUUGAGUUCCCUGGAAAACAGACUCUGAGGUUGAGAAUAG
rnacentral:lncRNA from 1 species